GAUGAACGCUGGCGGCGUGCCUAAUACAUGCAAGUCGAGCGAACAGACGAGGAGCUUGCUCCUCUGACGUUAGCGGCGGACGGGUGAGUAACACGUGGAUAACCUACCUAUAAGACUGGGAUAACUUCGGGAAACCGGAGCUAAUACCGGAUAACAUGUUGAACCGCAUGGUUCAACAGUGAAAGACGGUCUUGCUGUCACUUAUAGAUGGAUCCGCGCCGCAUUAGCUAGUUGGUAAGGUAACGGCUUACCAAGGCAACGAUGCGUAGCCGACCUGAGAGGGUGAUCGGCCACACUGGAACUGAGACACGGUCCAGACUCCUACGGGAGGCAGCAGUAGGGAAGCUUCCGCAAUGGGCGAAAGCCUGACGGAGCAACGCCGCGUGAGUGAAGAAGGUCUUCGGAUCGUAAAACUCUGUUAUUAGGGAAGAACAAAUGUGUAAGUAACUAUGCACGUCCUGACGGUACCGAAUCAGAAAGCCACGGCUAACUACGU
rnacentral:rRNA from 1 species